CCUGGUGGCUCAGAGGGUAAAGCGUCUGCCUGCAAUCCAGGAGACCUGGGUUCGAUCCCUGGGUCAGGA
rnacentral:tRNA from 1 species